UACGUAGGUGGCAAGCGUUGUCCGGAAUUAUUGGGCGUAAAGCGCGCGUAGGCGGUCCUUUAAGUCUGAUGUGAAAGCCCACGGCUCAACCGUGGAGGGUCAUUGGAAACUGGGGGACUUGAGUGCAGAAGAGGAAAUCGGAAUUCCACGUGUAGCGGUGAAAUGCGUAGAGAUGUGGAGGAACACCAGUGGCGAAGGCGGCUUUCUGGUCUGUAACUGACGCUGAGGCGCGAAAGCGUGGGGAGCAAACAGG
rnacentral:rRNA from 1 species